AAUUCUCAACCUUGCAAGCUUUUUGUUUGUGAGGCUUGGAUGUGAGGGUUUUGCUGGCUUCCUUUCAUUUGGAUGGUCUGCUCCCUUUAAAUUCAUUAGUGGGAUCCUUUGUGGAUGGUCACUUGGUGUGAUAAUUAUCUACGCCGCCUGACUCUGAAACAAGACUUGUGGGAACCCGCUUAUAACCGUCUCUUUCAGAGACAACCUUAUCUUGACA
rnacentral:misc_RNA from 1 species